AUUGAACGCUGGCGGCAGGCCUAACACAUGCAAGUCGAACGAGUGGCGGACGGGUGAGUAAUGUCUGGGAAACUGCCCGAUGGAGGGGGAUAACUACUGGAAACGGUAGCUAAUACCGCAUACCAUCGGAUGUGCCAAGAUGUGAUUAGCUAGUAGGGGGGGUAACGGCUAACCUAGGCGACGAUCCCUAGCUGGUCUGAGUGGAUGAACAGCCACAUUGGAACUGAGACACGGCCCAGACUCCUACGGGAGGCAGCAGUGAGGAAUAUUGCACAAUGGGCGCAAGCCGGAUGCAGCCAUGCCGCGUGGAUGAAGAAGGCCUUCGGGUUGUAAAGUACUUUCAGCGGGGAGGCGUUACUCGCAGAAUAAGCACCGGCUAACUCCGUGCCAGCCGCCGCGGUAAUUC
rnacentral:rRNA from 1 species